AGCAGCCGCGGUAAUUCCAGCUCCAAUAGCGUAUAUUAAAGUUGUUGCAGUUAAAAAGCUCGUAGUUGAAUUUCGGGAUUAGUGCGUCGGUCGUGCCUUCGGUACGUACUGGUGUUACUGAUUCCUACCUUCUGACGAACCAUCAUGUCACUAAUUUGGUGUGGCGGGGAAUCAGGACUGUUACUUUGAAAAAAUUAGAGUGUUUAAAGCAGGCUCGCGCUUGAAUACAUUAGCAUGGAAUAAUGAAAUAGGACGUUGACCCUAUUUUGUUGGUUUCUAGGAUUGACGUAAUGAUUAAUAGGGAUAGUUGGGGGCAUUAGUAUUCAAUUGUCAGAGGUGAAAUUCUUGGAUUUAUUGAAGACUAACUACUGCGAAAGCAUUUGCCAAGGAUGUUUUCAUUAAUCAAGAACGAAAGUUAGGGGAUCGAAGACGAUCAGAUACCGUCGUAGUCUUAACCAUAAACUAUGCCGACUAGGGAUCGGAUGAUGUUAUUUUUAAUGACUCA
rnacentral:rRNA from 1 species